rnacentral:rRNA from 1 species
GACGAACGCUGGCGGCGUGCUUAACACAUGCAAGUCGAACGGAAAGGCCCUGCUUUUGUGGGGUGCUCGAGUGGCGAACGGGUGAGUAACACGUGAGUAACCUGCCCUUGACUUUGGGAUAACUUCAGGAAACUGGGGCUAAUACCGGAUAGGAGCUCCUGCUGCAUGGUGGGGGUUGGAAAGUUUCGGCGGUUGGGGAUGGACUCGCGGCUUAUCAGCUUGUUGGUGGGGUAGUGGCUUACCAAGGCUUUGACGGGUAGCCGGCCUGAGAGGGUGACCGGCCACAUUGGGACUGAGAUACGGCCCAGACUCCUACGGGAGGCAGCAGUGGGGAAUAUUGCACAAUGGGCGGAAGCCUGAUGCAGCAACGCCGCGUGCGGGAUGACGGCCUUCGGGUUGUAAACCGCUUUCGCCUGUGACGAAGCGUGAGUGACGGUAAUGGGUAAAGAAGCACCGGCUAACUACGUGCCAGCAGCCGCGGUGAUACGUAGGGUGCGAGCGUUGUCCGGAUUUAUUGGGCGUAAAGGGCUCGUAGGUGGUUGAUCGCGUCGGAAGUGUAAUCUUGGGGCUUAACCCUGAGCGUGCUUUCGAUACGGGUUGACUUGAGGAAGGUAGGGGAGAAUGGAAUUCCUGGUGGAGCGGUGGAAUGCGCAGAUAUCAGGAGGAACACCAGUGGCGAAGGCGGUUCUCUGGGCCUUUCCUGGCGCUGAGGAGCGAAAGCGUGGGGAGCGAACAGGCUUAGAUACCCUGGUAGUCCACGCUGUAAACGGUGGGUACUAGGUGUGGGGUCCAUUCCACGGGUUCCGUGCCGUAGCUAACGCUUUAAGUACCCCGCCUGGGGAGUACGGCCGCAAGGCUAAAACUCAAAGGAAUUGACGGGGCCCCGCACAAGCGGCGGAGCAUGCGGAUUAAUUCGAUGCAACGCGUAGAACCUUACCUGGGUUUGACAUGGAUCGGGAGUGCGCAGAGAUGGGUGUGCCUCUUUUGGGGUCGGUUCACAGGUGAUGCAUGGCUGUCGUCAGCUCGUGUCGUGAGAUGUUGGGUUAAGUCCCGCAACGAGCGCAACCCUUGUUCACUGUUGCCAGCACGUUAUGGUGGGGACUCAGUGGAGACCGCCGGGGUCAACUCGGAGGAAGGUGGGGAUGACGUCAAGUCAUCAUGCCCCUUAUGUCCAGGGCUUCACGCAUGCUACAAUGGCUGGUACAGAGAGUGGCGAGCCUGUGAGGGUGAGCGAAUCUCGGAAAGCCGGUCUCAGUUCGGAUUGGGGUCUGCAACUCGACCUCAUGAAGUCGGAGUCGCUAGUAAUCGCAGAUCAGCAACGCUGCGGUGAAUACGUUCCCGGGGCU